rnacentral:rRNA from 1 species
UACGAAGGGGCUAGCGUUGCUCGGAAUCACUGGGCGUAAAGCGCACGUUAGGCGGCUUUUUAAGUCAGAGGUGAAAUCCUGGAGCUCAACUCCAGAACUGCCUUUGAGUAACUGGAGAGCUUGAGUCCGGGAGAGGGUGAGUGGAACUGCGAGUGUAGAGGUGAAAUUCGUAGAUAUUCGCAAGAACACCAGUGGCGAAGGCGACUCACUGGCCCGAUACUGACGCUGAGGCGCGAAAGCGUGGGGAGCAACAGG